GACGAACGUUGGCGGCGUGCUUAAUACAUGCAAGUCAACUGAAGGGCCGGUAGUAAUACUGGCGUGGAGGUGGCGCACGGGUGAGUAACACGUAGGUAAUCUGCCUUCAGGUCUGACAUAACUCCGAGAAAUCGAAGCUAAUAUCAGAUGAUGCAGCGGCUUGACAUCAAGACAGUUGUUAAAGCUUCGGCGCCUGAAGAUGAGCCUGCGCUGAUUAGCUAGUUGGCGGGGUAACGGCCCACCAAGGCUUCGAUCAGUAGCUGGUCUGAGAGGAUGAUCAGCCACACUGGAACUGAGACACGGUCCAGACUCCUACGGGAGCAGCAGUAAGGAAUAUUGCUCAAUGGGAGAAAU
rnacentral:rRNA from 1 species